rnacentral:lncRNA from 1 species
UUCCUGUUUAAGCGGAGCAUGGUGACUUAUGCCUGUAACCCCAGCACUUUGAGAGGGUAAGAUAGGAGGAUCUCCUGAGGCCAGGAGUUUGAGACCAGCCUAGGCAACAUAGCAAGAACCCAUCUCUACAAAAAAUAAAAAAUUAGCUCAGCAUGGUGAUGCACGCCUGUAGUCCUAACUUCUCAGGAGGUGGGAAGAUCGCUUCACUCCAGGAGUUGGAGCCUACAGUGAGCUAUGACUGCACCGCUGCACACCAGCCUGGGUGACAGAGUGAGACCCUGUGUCUUAAAAAAAAAAAAAAAAAAUCCCUGGUUAACAGGGAAAAGAGCUAUGUAAAUAGUAUAAUGUGAAAAGAGCUUUAGUAGAGAUAUGAGAACACAGCUAUUUUCAAGAGCAGUGGAAAAUAAGGUUAAAUAAGUAGAGUAGACCCCAAAUGAUAGCUCUUUGAUAGCAAGCAGAGAAGUUCAGAUUGGAUGUGGCAGCAUUUUAGUGGGUCCUCUGGGUUCUUAGGUGGGGAGAGAGACACGAGGAAAACAGAAGGCCAGGAUGAAGGUUUUGGGGUAAUCUACACACAAAGUAAGAGCAAAAAAAAAAAAAAAAAGUUGGGGGAGUGGAAAGGAAGUAGGAAUAUAUUCAGAAGGUAUUCAAGAAACUAAAUAGGACUGGAUAACUGACUGGAUAAAGCAUAGAACCAUAAUGGUCAGAGGUGACCCAGUGUCUCUACCCUGGUGACCUAGAAGAAUUGUGGCAUUCACGAUAGAAGUGGGGGUGUUGAGGGAAGAUCUGUUUUGAAUGGUGAUCCUACUUUGAACGUUUUGGGUGUAGAGCAGUACGAGGCCAUCAGGUAUCCAGGUGGAGACGGCAUACUGCUGAGGUAAGAGGUUAUGACUGGGGAUAGCUAGCAGAAUCUUCGGAGUAAAAGUGAUUGUGGGAGAGAUGAAAGUAUAUGAAUUCAGGGAAGAGAAAGAGGAGAACAAAGAACUAAAUCCAGGACCCCAGGCUUAGACAAUAAAAGUUUUGCAUUGGUAGUAAAAGUUACUAUGAGGAGAAGCAAAAGCUACCUGAAGAGAGAGAGAAUAGUUUUGUUUUUUAAGGCAAAGGGUAGAAGGUAAGGUGGGAAAGUGGCGUCUGAUGGAACUAGAAGUGUUUUAAGUAGAAGAUCUGUAAGAGCAAUUUCUUAUUGAUACUCUCUCAUGUAUAAGGUAUUGUGAGAGAUGCAAAGAUGACUAAAACAAGCCCCAAACCCAGAUGUUUUCAAUCUCUUAGGGUGAAACAUAUGAAAUUGCUGGGUUUUUUUGUAAGGCAAAAUGGCAAUUUCAUAUGGUACAGCCUGGUAGAAGAGGAGAUAGAACAUAUGUACAAAUGCAUUUAAUACAGGCAAGGUGGUGAGAAACUCAAUAAGAG